rnacentral:sRNA from 1 species
UCCUAGCCCCGAUUGCAACGGCAUCCUUUUGUGUAGCGAAGCGAAACAAAAGAUAUAGUGGAAAGCGGGAUUAAGC